AAAAUAUUAAUGGACACUAUAAGAAUGUCAAGUUUAUGUGCGCUGAUGUGACAUCCCCGGAUCUGAAUUUUUCAGAGGGAUCGGUGGAUUUGAUAUUCUCAAAUUGGCUUCUCAUGUAUCUUUCCGACAAGGAGGCUUCUUGGAAUCAGUGGUCAGUGCUUUGAUGAUCUUAUUGGAGUCUGCCACAUACAUUUGAUGAAAGCUUGGUAUGAUUAUGACUGUUGUUGCAUCAAUCUUUAAGUGAAAUGCCCAUAAAUAUCAUGUGAUUUU